CGGGGUGUGGCCUAGUUGGCUUAAGGCGCACGCUUUGGGAGCGUGAGAUCCUGGGUUCGAGUCCCAGCACCCCGA
rnacentral:tRNA from 1 species